UACAGAGGUCUCAAGCGUUGUUCGGAUUCAUUGGGCGUAAAGGGUGCGUAGGCGGCGCGGUAAGUCGGAUGUGAAAUCUCGGAGCUUAACUCCGAAACUGCAUUCGAUACUGCCGUGCUUGAGGACUGGAGAGGAGACUGGAAUUUACGGUGUAGCGGUGAAAUGCGUAGAUAUCGUAAGGAAGACCAGUGGCGGAAGGCGGGUCUCUGGACAGUUCCUGACGGCUG
rnacentral:rRNA from 1 species